UACAGAGGUCUCAAGCGUUGUUCGGAUUCAUUGGGCGUAAAGGGUGCGUAGGCGGCGCGGUAAGUCGGGUGUGAAAUCUUGGAGCUUAACUCCGAAACUGCAUUCGAUACUGCCGUGCUUGAGGACUGGAGAGGAGACUGGAAUUUACGGUGUAGCGGUGAAAUGCGUAGAUAUCGUAAGGAAGACCAGUGGCGAAGGCGGGUCUCUGGACAGUUCCUGACGCUGAGGCACGGAAGGCCCAGGGGAGCAAACGGG
rnacentral:rRNA from 1 species